GCAGUGGUAGCAGGAGUGGUUAAGGCAAUGGACUAGACAUCCAGAGUGGUCUCCCUGCACAGGUUCGAAUCCUGUCGACUGCG
rnacentral:tRNA from 2 species